ACGCUCAGGUGCGAAAGCGUGGGGAGCAAACAGGAUUAUAUACCCUGGUAGUCCACGCCGUAAACGAUGUCUACUACCUGUUCGUGACCUUGUGUCGUGAGUAGCGCAGCUAACGCACUAAUUACACCGCCUGGGGAGUACGGUCGCAAGAUUAAAACUCAAAUGAAUUGACGGGGGCCCGCACAAGCGGUGGAGCAUGUGGUUUAAUUCGACGCAACGCGAAGAACCUUACCUACUCUUGACAUCCAGAGAAGACUGCAGAGAUGCGGUUGUGCCUUCGGGAACUCUGAGACAGGUGCUGCAUGGCUGUCGUCAGCUCGUGUUGUGAAAUGUUGGGUUAAGUCCCGCAACGAGCGCAACCCUUAUCCUUAGUUGCCAGCACGUAAUGGUGGGAACUCUAGGGAGACUGCCGGUGAUAAACCGGAGGAAGGUGGGGACGACGUCAAGUCAUCAUGGCCCUUACGAGUAGGGCUACACACGUGCUACAAUGGUAUGUACAGAGGGAGGCAAGCUGGCGACAGUGAGCGGAUCUCUUAAAGCAUAUCGUAGUCCGGAUCGCAGUCUGCAACUCGACUGCGUGAAGCCGGAAUCGCUAGUAAUCGCAAAUCAGAAUGUUUGCGGUGAAUACGUUCCCGGGCCUUGUACACACCGCCCGUCACACCAUGGGAGUGGGUUGCAAAAGAAGUAGGUAGCUUAACCCUUCGGGAGGGCGCUUACCACUUUGUGAUUCAUGACUGGGGUGAAAGUCG
rnacentral:rRNA from 1 species